AUUGAUCAACACGUACAUCGAAAACUUGAGGCAAUCAUCAGAAACAACGAGGCAGGUAGAAUCAUUCAUGCAAGUUCUGUCUGAUCCAGUCUGGUUUACCAAAGAAUCCAGAAGAAUGCUUUGGGAAGGAUUUGCGUUGGCCUUGGGCGUACUCCCGAAGUUCAUGCUUAAUGGUUACCUCGCUGGGAUACGCUUUGUUAGAGCGCUAAUUCUGAGUAUUGCUGAGACUGUCGGUGUUAAAAGAGAAGGGGAAAGCAAUAGUGUUAUCAAUGAGUCUAUCCUCACGCGACUCUUUCACUGUUGUUUUAAAGCUAUGAAUGAUUACACGAUCGACAGCUGAGGUGAUGUUGGAUCGUGGUCCCGCAAGGCGGCCAUGACAUGUUUAUCAAAACUCAUACUAGUUGUAACUGGGACGGAUUCCGAACUUCUCUCUAAAGAGACUUGCAAUGAAAUGAUGUGUUGUCUGCUAAAACAAUGCAGUGAAAAAAUCGAUCAUACGAGAGCACAUGCCGGAGAAAUAUUCCUGAAACUUAUUCACAAAGAGAAUCCUGUUAUUCCAAGAAUUCCUGAACACAAGCUCCUGUGUGACAUAUUUCCAAGAAAAGAUUCUGAGAAUUUAAAUUGGGGUGCCGCCGCUGAAAGUUUUCCGGAAAAUUUCGCAGUUAUUGGAAAUACCGUGCCACCAAUAUGCCGUACUGAGUGGUAUAAUACUCAGCGCUGGUGGUCUUAGUGAGUCUUUGAUACGACAGGCUGAGAUCUCGUUAGAAAAUUUCCUCGGAAGACUAUCUGCAAGACGAGAGAAUGAAUUGAUCGAUCAUCUCUACAAAGUUAAACUUUGUCAUUGGGACAUUGCUGUCAGGGAACUCGUAUCCAAAGCUUUGUUUAAUCUUACUGUCCGAGAUCCAGUGAUGAUGGCGGAAGAAGUUCUUCCUGCAAUCUUACCUCAGACCGUUGGCUUGGAUCUUCACGCUAGGCACGGCAGCGUCUUAUGUGCAGCUGAAAUAACGCAUGCCUUGU